rnacentral:misc_RNA from 1 species
UCAUAACUGAUGCUGGGAUCCCGGCCGGUACGGAGAUAGCGUACGGCGGUAGUGAAGAGCGGAGAAGAAAGAGGAUGUUGAAGAUAGCUGUUGGAGGGGGAGAGGUGUUGGCUCCGAAUCGACGGAGACGAGAGGGUUGCAACGGCUCUGGAAGCCGAUGAUUGGCGGAGGUAAAUGAGGGAUCUCACUCCUUUCCAAACAAGCGAAUUGCCUCUCCACAUUUCUCGUGUCCUUGCAGUGUACGUG